rnacentral:rRNA from 1 species
GUGGGGAAUUUUGCGCAAUGGGCGAAAGCCUGACGCAGCAACGCCGCGUGGAGGAUGAAGGCCUUCGGGUCGUAAACUCCUGUCAGGGGGGACGAAACGCCGGGUAACCGGCUUGACUGUACCCCCGGAGGAAGCCACGGCUAACUCCGUGCCAGCAGCCGCGGUAAUACGGAGGUGGCUAGCGUUGUUCGGAAUUACUGGGCGUAAAGGGCGCGUAGGCGGCAUUACAAGUCAGAUGUGAAAGCCCCGGGCUUAACUCGGGAACUGCAUCUGAAACUGCUUUGCUUGAGUCCUGGAGGGGGUAGUGGAAUUCCCAGUGUAGCGGUGAAAUGCGUAGAUAUUGGGAGGAACACCUGCGGCGAAGGCGGCUACCUGGACAGUGACUGACGCUGAGGCGCGAAAGCUAGGGGAGCGAACGGGAUUAGAAACCCUUGUAGUCC